AGGGUUCGAUCCUGGCUCAGGAUGAACGCUAGCUACAGGCUUAACACAUGCAAGUCGAGGGGCAGCGGGAUUGAAGCUUGCUUCAAUUGCCGGCGACCGGCGCACGGGUGAGUAACGCGUAUCCAACCUUCCGUACACUCAGGGAUAGCCUUUCGAAAGAAAGAUUAAUACCUGAUGGUAUGAUGAGAUUGCAUGAUAGCAUCAUUAAAGAUUUAUCGGUGUACGAUGGGGAUGCGUUCCAUUAGGUAGUAGGCGGGGUAACGGCCCACCUAGCCAACGAUGGAUAGGGGUUCUGAGAGGAAGGUCCCCCACAUUGGAACUGAGACACGGUCCAA
rnacentral:rRNA from 1 species